AAGCAAAUCUUGUGUGAGAUCUUAGUGUUGUUCUGUAAGAUGGCCUCAACCUCCACAGGAUGAGGGGCCCACUUCCUGCAGCCACUCCUGGAAAAUGCCACCACCAUCAUAAGAGACACCAGUUUAAUCAUUGAGGAAAUGAACAACAGUAUUCCAGCCAAACAGCAGGCACCCUCCAAAAGGCCAGUACUCUGUGAUGGGGCAGGCUGCAAUGGACCUCCACCCCAGUGCAAAUUCAGUGUAUUAACAGCAAGAAACUGAGGGUCUUAUUAGCCUGUAAAGUGAAAGUCUGUUCUGCUCUGCAAGGAGCUUGCAUGAAGAAGGUACCUUCCUAGCCAGCACCAUUGCCUCUUCUAUGGAUUCAGCAGCAUUUUUCCUUACUGAUGUGAAUAUAAUGGCUACAAGGAGAAAUACAUUUUACUUAAUUCCUGCAUCAGCAAAAAGAUAAGUAUUUGGAUACUUUUUGGUACUUGGAGCCCAAGUACCAAAAAGGUCUGGAGGGCGCUUGAAAGCAUUUUAUAGGAGAGCUGGAGUGCAAUCACUGCCUUAGGAGGUGCUUAAGCUGUACAAACCCAGUUCUUUGAAAUUAGACCUUAGAGCAAACCUUUGCCUUUUACAGCAAAGGAACUGGCUCUGAAGUCUCAGUCAUGCAGAAACCUUGGCAUAGUUAAAGUUAGAACAUAUCUAGCAAAUUACCUCCUGGGGCUGGUAAGUUCCUAUCCUCAGUGGCACAGAGCAGGCUGUUCAGGUAUUUUGAACACCAUAGCUUAUGGGCCUCUCACAUGGGGUCUGUCUCUCAGGAGAAGGUUAGUCUGGAUCCAAGCUUUAAUUGUGUGGAUUUGAAAACUAAUUUUUUUUCCAUUCAAUAAAGGAUCAUUUCCAUUUGGAGAAGGAAAACUUGACUGUGACCAAGCUGAACAGCAUGUGCUUUGUACUGUGCAGGCACUGUACAAAGUGUGGACCUGCCCUACUCAGUCACCUGUUUGUGACCUGGCAUCAGAGGGAGGCCCUGGGAGCUCAAGGAAUUGCAGCAGUUUGGCAUAGGGCUACCCACCUCUCCAUGCAGCCUGAGCUAGGAAUUCACUGCCAAGACUGCUUGGGGAGCAGGAGAGCCUCAGUGACACCUUGCCUGACUCACACCACAAGGAGAUGAGCAUGGAAUGCUGAUGGGAGCAAAGCCGCAGCUCAGGGGAGAUGAUUGAUGGUGCUCUCUGGCCUCUCCCUGCCAGGGUCCUGAGCACUCCACAAAGGAGGAUGAAUCAGGAGAUCACCUUCUCACAGCGGUACUCUCCAAAGCGAACGCCCCGGAUGACUUGGUGGUAGAUGAGGUCAGUGCUGACAGGAUCCUCCCGGGAGUUGUGCCAGGGGGUGAAGAUCUCCUUGCGGAAGUAGAGGCGCCAGGGCGCGUGGCGUUCGUGCAUGCCCCGCUCCUUCACCAGCUGCUCGCACUGGGAGAUGGCAUCCAGGACGUGGUCCCGGCCCCCGCCCAGCGACCAGACCUGCCGCAAAGGGACACUGCGUUUACUGGCAUGCCUGCCCUGGGUCUGCCCAAAGGACCACAAACACAAAGCUCCUGCUCUCCUGACGGGAAGAAAAACUCCAGAAAGGAUGAGGAGCCCAUCUGAGCAAGAUGAACCUCCCAUGGUACAAACUGUCACACUGCAGCUGAAAAAGGCAGCACAUAGCUCUGAUGGAUUAAAAGUAAAAGCAAGGAUUACCCUGUACUCCAACUCUUCUUGGAUGCAGCAAGUACAGCUAUAAAAUGUUACCCAGAAACUGAGAGCCUUUUCUCAUUACAAACUUUACCAAAGGAUGUUUACCUGUCCGUGGCCAGGUGUUCUGGACAGCAGAAAGCCACACUGGGACAAAGACAGAGGAAGAAAGGACAAGAUCAGAAAACAAUGCCAGGAGAAUAGACAGAUAACAGGUGCAGGAUCGCAGCCAGCAGCUUGCUGAUGUCCCAGUGCUCAGAGUCUGAGAACAUGAGGAUCUUCAUAGCUGAGCGGAUGUGGGCAUAAUCCUUGGCGUCAUUGCGGCUGUCGCAGGACGUGCAGUUACCCUGCAAGCACCACACCAACAGGUUCAGUGAUGCUGCACUGUAUAAUGGGGCCCCUGCUGUAACUCCACAUCCAAAUCAGAGGUAAGAACUCAUGCAUGGCAAUAAAUAGUUUAGAGUAGCAUGUGUUUAUCAACAUCACAUAUUUGUGUU